rnacentral:rRNA from 1 species
GCGCGAUUGAAUGAGCCGAUGUCGGAUUAGCUAGUUGGCGGGGUAAAGGCCCACCAAGGCGACGAUCCGUAGCUGGUCUGAGAGGAUGAUCAGCCACACUGGAACUGAGACACGGUCCAGACUCCUACGGGAGGCAGCAGUGGGGAAUAUUGGACAAUGGGCGCAAGCCUGAUCCAGCCAUACCGCGUGGGUGAAGAAGGCCUUCGGGUUGUAAAGCCCUUUUGUUGGGAAAGAAAUCCAGCCGGCUAAUACCCGGUUGGGAUGACGGUACCCAAAGAAUAAGCACCGGCUAACUUCGUGCCAGCAGCCGCGGUAAUACGAAGGGUGCAAGCGUUACUCGGAAUUACUGGGCGUAAAGCGUGCGUAGGUGGUCGUUUAAGUCCGUUGUGAAAGCCCUGGGCUCAACCUGGGAACUGCAGUGGAUACUGGGCGACUAGAGUGUGGUAGAGGGUAGCGGAAUUCCUGGUGUAGCAGUGAAAUGCGUAGAGAUCAGGAGGAACAUCCAUGGCGAAGGCAGCUACC